rnacentral:misc_RNA from 1 species
GAUGAAGAACGUAGCGAAAUGCGAUACGUAAUGUGAAUUGCAGAAUUCAGUGAAUCAUCGAGUCUUUGAACGCACAUUGCGCCCCCUGGUAUUCCGGGGGGCAUGCCUGUCCGAGCGUCAUUGCUGCCCUCAAGCACGGCUUGUGUGUUGGGCCUCCGUCCUCCUCCCGGGGGACGGGCCCGAAAGGCAGCGGCGGCACCGCGUCCGGUCCUCGAGCGUAUGGGGCUUCGUCACCCGCUCUUGUAGGCCCGGCCGGCGCUUGCCGACACAUCAAUCUUUUUUCCAGGUUGACCUCGGAUCAGGUAGGGAUACCCGAUGAACUUAAGCAUAUCAAUAAGCGGAGGA